rnacentral:rRNA from 1 species
GACGAACGCUGGCGGCGUGCUUAACACAUGCAAGUCGAACGGAAAGGCCCUGCUUUUGUGGGGUGCUCGAGUGGCGAACGGGUGAGUAACACGUGUGUAACCUGCCCUUGACUUUGGUAUACCUUCAGGAAACUGGGGCUAAUACCGGAUAGGCGCUCCUGCUGCAUGGUGGUGGUUGGAAUGUUUCGGCGGUUGGGGAUGGACGCGCGGCUUAUCAGCUUGUUGGUGGGGUAGUGGCUUACCAAGGCUUUGACGGGUAGGCGGCCUGAGAGGGUGACCGGCCACAUUGGGACUGAGAGACGGCCCAGACUCCUACGGGAGGCAGAAGUGGGGAAUAUUGCACAAGGGGCGGAAGCCUGAUGCAGCAACGCCGCGUGCGGGAUGACGGCCGUCGUGUUGUAAACCGCUUUCGCCUGUGACGAAGCGGGAGUGACGGUAAUGGGUAAAGAAGCACCGGCUAACUACGUG